rnacentral:rRNA from 1 species
CUGGGAGGACCAUCUCCUAAGGCUAAAUACUCUCUAGUGACCGAUAGUGAACCAGUACCGUGAGGGAAAGGUGAAAAGCACCCCGGAAGGGGAGUGAAAUAGAACCUGAAACCGUGUGCUUACAAGUAGUCAGAGCCCGUUAAUGGGUGAUGGCGUGCCUUUUGUAGAAUGAACCGGCGAGUUACGAUUUGAUGCAAGGUUAAGCAGUAAAUGUGGAGCCGUAGCGAAAGCGAGUCUGAAUAGGGCGUUUAGUAUUUGGUCGUAGACCCGAAACCAGGUGAUCUACCCUUGGUCAGGUUGAAGUUCAGGUAACACUGAAUGGAGGACCGAACCGACUUACGUUGAAAAGUGAGCGGAUGAACUGAGGGUAGCGGAGAAAUUCCAAUCGAACCUGGAGAUAGCUGGUUCUCUCCGAAAUAGCUUUAGGGCUAGCCUCAAGUGAUGAUUAUUGGAGGUAGAGCACUGUUUGGACGAGGGGCCCCUCUCGGGUUACCGAAUUCAGACAAACUCCGAAUGCCAAUUAAUUUAACUUGGGAGUCAGAACAUGGGUGAUAAGGUCCGUGUUCGAAAGGGAAACAGCCCAGACCACCAGCUAAGGUCCCAAAAUAUAUGUUAAGUGGAAAAGGAUGUGGCGUUGCCCAGACAACUAGGAUGUUGGCUUAGAAGCAGCCAUCAUUUAAAGAGUGCGUAAUAGCUCACUAGUCGAGUGACACUGCGCCGAAAAUGUACCGGGGCUAAACAUAUUACCGAAGCUGUGGAUUGUCCUUUGGACAAUGGUAGGAGAGCGUUCUAAGGGCGUUGAAGCAUGAUCGUAAGGACAUGUGGAGCGCUUAGAAGUGAGAAUGCCGGUGUGAGUAGCGAAAGACGGGUGAGAAUCCCGUCCACCGAUUGACUAAGGUUUCCAGAGGAAGGCUCGUCCGCUCUGGGUUAGUCGGGUCCUAAGCUGAGGCCGACAGGCGUAGGCGAUGGAUAACAGGUUGAUAUUCCUGUACCACCUAUAAUCGUUUUAAUCGAUGGGGGGACGCAGUAGGAUAGGCGAAGCGUGCGAUUGGAUUGCACGUCUAAGCAGUAAGGCUGAGUAUUAGGCAAAUCCGGUACUCGUUAAGGCUGAGCUGUGAUGGGGAGAAGACAUUGUGUCUUCGAGUCGUUGAUUUCACA